rnacentral:rRNA from 1 species
UACGUAGGGUGCAAGCGUUGUCCGGAAUUAUUGGGCGUAAAGAGCUCGUAGGCGGUCUGUCGCGUCUGCUGUGAAGACUCAGGGCUUAACCCUGAGCUUGCAGUGGGUACGGGCAGACUAGAGUGCGGUAGGGGAGACUGGAAUUCCUGGUGUAGCGGUGAAAUGCGCAGAUAUCAGGAGGAACACCGGUGGCGAAGGCGGGUCUCUGGGCCGUAACUGACGCUGGAGGAGCGAAAGCCGUGGGGAGCGAACAGG